rnacentral:misc_RNA from 1 species
AUAAUUUUUCCAGUUAUACCAUAUGUUGUCCUUGCAAUCUUUUAUAUGGUCUGGUUUUCAGCUGCUUUUCAUCUUUUUAGUUCUGGCCGAAUUGUCCAAAAUGACUGCGAUUCCAGCUGCUGUGCCUAUGACCUUGAGUCAAAAAAGGUUAGCUGUGAUCACUGCUGUGGCUAUAGCAUCCAUUAUACUUCUCAUAUAGCAGUUGCCAUCAUUUUCCACCUGUUUGGAUGUUACUGGGC